rnacentral:rRNA from 1 species
AUUGCCUCAGUAACGGCGAGUGAAGCGGCAAGAGCUCAAAUUUGAAAUCUGGCCCCUCCGGGGUCCGAGUUGUAAUUUGCAGAGGAUGCUUCGGGUGUGGCCCCUGUCUAAGUGCCCUGGAACGGGCCGUCAGAGAGGGUGAGAAUCCCGUCUUGGGCAGGGUGCCCAUGCCCGUGUGAAGCUCCUUCGACGAGUCGAGUUGUUUGGGAAUGCAGCUCUAAAUGGGUGGUAAAUUUCAUCUAAAGCUAAAUACCGGCCGGAGACCGAUAGCGCACAAGUAGAGUGAUCGAAAGAUGAAAAGCACUUUGAAAAGAGAGUUAAACAGCACGUGAAAUUGUUGAAAGGGAAGCGCUUGCGACCAGACUCGGCCUCGGGGUUCAGCCAGCACUCGUGCUGGUGUACUUCCCCGGGGGCGGGCCAGCGUCGGUUUGGGCGGCCGGUCAAAGGCCCCAGGAAUGUAUCACCCUCCGGGGUUGUCUUAUAGCCUGGGGUGCAAUGCGGCCAGCCUGGACCGAGGAACGCGCUUCGGCACGGACGCUGGCAUAAUGGUUGCAAACGACCCGUCUUGAAACACGGACCAAGGAGUCUAACAUCUACGCGAGUGUUCGGGUGUCAAACCCGUACGCGCAGUGAAAGCGAACGGAGGUGGGAGCCCCCUCGGGGCGCACCAUCGACCGAUCCUGAUGUCUUCGGAUGGAUUUGAGUAAGAGCGUAGCUGUGGGGACCCGAAAGAUGGUGAACUAUGCCUGAAUAGGGCGAAGCCAGAGGAAACUCUGGUGGAGGCUCGCAGCGGUUCUGACGUGCAAAUCGAUCGUCAAAUUUGGGUAUAGGGGCGAAAGACUAAUCGAACCAUCUGGUAGCUGGUUCCUGCU